CUUCAACGACCCCAGCCACAGCGGCUUUUCGGACGACCGCUCCUGCCCGUAGGUGGCCAGGAGUGCCUGGGCCUC
rnacentral:antisense_RNA from 1 species